UACGUAGGGUGCGAGCGUUGUCCGGAAUUAUUGGGCGUAAAGAGCUCGUAGGCGGUCUGUCGCGUCGGUCGUGAAAACUUGGGGCUUAACCCUGAGCUUGCGGUCGAUACGGGCAUGACUGGAGUUCGGCAGGGGAGACUGGAAUUCCUGGUGUAGCGGUGAAAUGCGCAGAUAUCAGGAGGAACACCGGUGGCGAAAGCGGCGCACUGGACCACAUCUGACGCUGAGGCGCGAAAGCUAGGGGAGCAAACAGG
rnacentral:rRNA from 1 species